AACUAGAUAAAGGUCACAAUUGAUAUCUAAAUCUAAAUUUCUAGCUAAAGUCAUGCUCGCAUCAUAAUAAUUGAAGUAUCAGGGAAUUGUCGCAGUUGUAUAUUUCUUCGAACUAUCUGGGUAAAGGUCACAGUUGCAACUUUUCUUGGAUUAUCUUCAAAAAUAAAUGUCUUAAUUGCACCCUAAUUUACAAAAUCAAGUUAACGGUCGUCUCAGUUAACAUCUAACUUACAAUAUUUAGCUAAACGUCAUGCUUCCAACAAAAUAUUUAAAAAAUCAGGUAAAGAUUAUAAAUGCAGGAUAUCGAUGAAACGCCCUCUAACCUUGUAACGAAGCGGCUCGAAUGUCGGCAAACUUCGGGUUUGCAGGGCAGGUUUUCAAAUGUGAACUAGAUGAGUUUACCUGGAGCUGAAAGAAAGAUGCACCAAUACGCAAACCUUGGUAUUCGUGAACAACAUUAUGAUGUCAGUAAUAUUUAUUACCUUAUUAUUUGUACUAAUAAAAUUUCGACAGGUCACUGGCUUAUUGACAUGCAAAUAUGGCACAUUUCAAACUAUCCACAGCCCACUUUAUAUCAAUUUAUGGAAAACCAUUUGCAAAUCGCGCGUUAAUCAAUCAAACUUGACCUAUAAGCAAUUAAGAAGGUGACAUAGUCAAUGUUUGUUUUAGAAUUUCCCUAAUAAUACUAUCAACUAAAAUCAUAACUUCUGAUUACAAGCCAGAUUUCAGUUUGAACUGCAUCAAACUCAUAUUCACUCAGGCUUUUCAUAACUUUUGUGAAGUCAAAUCUGCACUUUUGCUUUAGUUUUGUCCAAAUUUUAUUUGAUCUGUUUAUCUGUUUUGACAAAACUCAAUUUAUCGACCCAUUUACUCGAUAUCUUUCUUUAGAUUCACUCGCCGUCUAGUAAGUUUAACCCGGUCAACUCAUAAGUGAUAUAAUUUAUUUUAACCCAUUUAGAACUCGGCAAGCUCAGUUUGUUGUGUUUCACCAAAAACUAUCUGCAAUAAGGACUGCUCUGCAAAAAUGGACUCGCAAGGAUCUUCUGAAGCUACUGUUUCGACCAUGAUCGGAGUUUUUCACUACACCUGAGAAUAUUUGUGAACGCCCCCCCGACCAAUAAAUGCUCCCAGACGAUGGGGGGAGGAGGAGGAGGGGGAGGAGUUAUAUACCCCCGACUACAAACUUUGAUAGAAAAAGUGCAAAAAAGAAUGGCAAUCUGAAUGAAAUUGGAAUUUCAAACAAAUCAGGAACAGGAGAAUUGUAAUCAAAUCGAUGCAGUUAAAAUCAAAUUUUUCCAUUUGGGAAAAAACGUUGAUUGUUGUAAUUAAUUAUUUUCGAGGAUAAUAAUAAAAGGUUUUCAUGAUGCUAAGCAGGGAUUAAUUAUUUUGUACAUUACUAUUCAUAUCGUAUGAAUAAUCUCAAUUGCUGUAACUUUACUCUUAUGUAAUUAAUUGUAUUUUGAAAAACA